GUCAAACAAGGAAAAAGGAGGCAGAAAGGAGGAGGGAGGCAACCAAAACUGGUGGGGGGCCUCCACCAUCAAGCCUGACAGAAAUGGAACAGCGGGUUGUAUCAUUCCUGCCUUCAUGCACUAUUCAAGGUUGUGAUGGUGGCCUUGAAAGUGAGGAAUUUGAAUACACUACUCCGGCCACCCCUGAGACUCUCCAUGUACUGCCGGAUUUGCCACGUGAUGGGGCCUACAGUCUGCCUACCUACUUAGAGAGUUUGUUGUCAGCAGAUGAUGUUCCCCAAGGUUGUUAACAUGUACAUCAUGGAUAUAAUGCUCAUUAAGUUUAGGACAAGACAUUUAUAGGGUUCUGUGUGGAGAGAGAAUUAUGACAGUUUUAAGCAAGUAAUCUAUCACAACAUAAUAUGACAUCAUAUCUACAAUAUCAUAGUAUCACAGGUUUUACUGGAAUGGCUCAAUGACUUGA